rnacentral:lncRNA from 1 species
ACACUUUAAACUCAAGAUCAAACCUUGCAGAGAAGUUUGGCUUCGCGAAUUUGGUGUUCAGAUCACAGCAGCCUGAACUGAGUGCAUCAUUCUGUGAUGCUGUGACACGACUUCAGGGCAUCCACUGUCUGCUGUGGGUGGACACUGAGUCUGGACAGGAGAAAAUGCAAGUGAAGAAGCAGAGGAGCCAGAUCAGCAUCCCUGGCAGUCUGAGGCAAUUCAUGAUCUCUGUCAGGCCACCCUUGCUAGUGAGCGUCAUGGUACAGCUGAGCAACAAAGCAGCACUGCCAGUGGAGGGCCAUUCCUCACCAGCACUGUGGGGAAGGUGUGAAGACAAGAGGCAGCAGAGAUUGGCAUCAAAACCUCACUUUAGGUUGUUUUGCAGGGAGGUAUUCCUCCUUUUGAGGCAUUGUUUUUGAUGCUUGUGACCCUCGGAGAACAGGAGGAUCGAUCAUCUAUGUCAGGUCAAUGAAGAUGGAAGUAAACCUUUCAUUCUCCUUUCCCCCUAUUCCUCUUUGUAUUUUCAACUCAUUUUCUUAUCACAAGAGACUUUCCUCAGAUUUCUCUCAUCAUAUCACUUGACCUGACACAACCUGCCUCCUGAGUUUCCUCACACCUAUUUCCAUUUAUUUUCCUUCUUCACCUUUUCUUAGCACCCCAGAUUUUAAGGAAUGCAGAUCCUCCUCAACUCUAAUUUUUGCCUAGUAUCUUCCUUUUCCUGCUGCUCAAUACCAUAUUCUGGGUCCUUACCUCUUUUCUUGCCCUUCCUUCUCUCCAACCUCUCUUAAUUUUCCUCAAUAUGCUUUACCUCUGUCAUGGCUUGCAAACUCUUGUGUCUGUGCAGUUUGUUGUCUACAGCCUCUCCUGUCUCCCACACACCUCUGCCUGCCACUGAGUGAUCAGCUUCCUCAUGGGGGGAAGUGGAGGAGCAGGCACUUCUCUGUGGUGACCAUUGAUAGAACCCAAGGGAAUGGCCUGAAGGUGAGUCAGGGGAGGUUUAGGUUGGGUGUCAGGUGGCUGGGCACUGCAACAGGCUCCCCAGAGCAGUGGUCACAGCAACUGCCUGACAGAGUUUGAGUUUGGACAACACUCUUGGGCACAUGGUGUGAUUCUUGGGGAUGUCCUGUGCAGGGCCAGGAGUUGGACUUGAUGAUCCUUGUGUGUCUCUUCCAACUUGGGAUAUUCUGUGAUUCUGUGAUCACUUUUCUCAUGUGUCCCUUUGACCACAUCACUCUGCAUCCUCCCUAGGUUCCCUCUGCUCCAUCAUAUGAAACAUCAGGUUCUUGCCCGCACUGUUGACACUGCUCAGCUUAUUGCACUGUCACCCCUUGAUGGGUUUGGAGAAGGCAGCCCCAGGUCCCGUGAGGCCACACAGCUGGCACAGUUCAUGCUGACACCACCAGCUCACACUGCCCAUUG